GUUAUAGGGUCAAGCAAUGAAGCGCACACGGUGGAUGCCUAGGCAGUCAGAGGCGAUGAAAGACGUGGUAGCCUGCGAUAAGGUUCGGUGAGGUGGCAAACAACCUGUGACCCGGACAUCUCUGAAUGGGGAAACCCACUCAUCAACAGAUGAGUAUCUUACGCUGAAUACAUAGGCGUAAGAGGCGAACCAGGGGAACUGAAACAUCUAAGUACCCUGAGGAAAAGAAA
rnacentral:rRNA from 2 species